rnacentral:rRNA from 1 species
AAGGUUUCCGUAGGUGAACCUGCGGAAGGAUCAUUGUCGAAACCUGCAAAACAGACCCGCGAACACGUGUUUAAUCCCCGGGCGUCGAGCCGUGGGCGGACUUUCGUCCCUCCCCGUCGAGACGCCCCGCCUUCGGGCUAACGAACCCCGGCGCGGCAUGCGCCAAGGAAUAUAAAUAAAGAAGCGUCGUGCCCCCGCUGCCCCGUUCGCGGGUGCCUGCGGGGGAAGAUCGGCCUAUCUUGAAAGUCAAAACGACUCUCGGCAACGGAUAUCUCGGCUCUCGCAUCGAUGAAGAACGUAGCGAAAUGCGAUACUUGGUGUGAAUUGCAGAAUCCCGUGAACCAUCGAGUCUUUGGACGCAAGUUGCGCCCGAAGCCGUUAGGCCGAGGGCACGUCUGCCUGGGCGUCACGCAUCGCGUCGCCCCCUCCCCCUGCGGGACGGGGCGGAAAAUGGCCUCCCGUGCGCGCAAGUGCGUGCGGCCGGCCCAAAUCCGAUCCCCCGUCGACGGAUGUCGCGACAAGUGGUGGUUGAACUCUCAACUCGCGUGCUGUCGCGACUGGCUCCGUCGAGCGUUGUGGCAUCGUUUUGACCCUACGGCGCCUAACCGCGCCUUCGACCGCGAUCCCAGGUCAGGCGGGACUC